rnacentral:rRNA from 1 species
AGAGUUUGAUCCUGGCUCAGGAUGAACGCUGGCGGCGUGCCUAACACAUGCAAGUCGAGCGAUUCACUUCGGUGAAGAGCGGCGGACGGGUGAGUAACGCGUGGGUAACCUGCCUCAUACACAUGGAUAACAUACCGAAAGGUAUGCUAAUACAAGAUGAUAUAAGAGAUUCGCAUGGAUUUCUUAUCAAAGCUCCGGCGGUAUGAGAUGGACCCGCGUCUGAUUAGCUAGUUGGUAAGGUAACGGCUUACCAAGGCGACGAUCAGUAGCCGACCUGAGAGGGUGAUCGGCCACAUUGGAACUGAGACACGGUCCAAACUCCUACGGGAGGCAGCAGUGGGGAAUAUUGCACAAUGGGCGAAAGCCUGAUGCAGCAACGCCGCGUGAGCGAUGAAGGCCUUCGGGUCGUAAAGCUCUGUCCUCAAGGAAGAUAAUGACGGUACUUGAGGAGGAAGCCCCGGCUAACUACGUGCCAGCAGCCGCGGUAAUACGUAGGGGGCUAGCGUUAUCCGGAUUUACUGGGCGUAAAGGGUGCGUAGGUGGUUUCUUAAGUCAGGAGUGAAAGGCUACGGCUCAACCGUAGUAAGCUCUUGAAACUGGGAAACUUGAGUGCAGGAGAGGAAAGUGGAAUUCCUAGUGUAGCGGUGAAAUGCGUAGAUAUUAGGAGGAACACCAGUAGCGAAGGCGGCUUUCUGGACUGUAACUGACACUGAGGCACGAAAGCGUGGGGAGCAAACAGGAUUAGAUACCCUGGUAGUCCACGCCGUAAACGAUGAGUACUAGGUGUCGGGGGUUACCCCCCUCGGUGCCGCAGCUAACGCAUUAAGUACUCCGCCUGGGGAGU